AAUCCCUUUCAUGUCCUUAUCAACCGAAAUCCUCUUCGGGUUGUCAAGCACUAUACCUUCAAAGCUCCAUUUUAAAGGCUUGUUGUUGUUGUUGUUGUUCUCCAUGGUCAACUCUAUAGAGUGAAGUUCACUAUCAUCACCCGAAUCAUCAUCACCCCCCUCGAUAACUUCUGCAUCAAGACUCUCCCUCGACUUCUGCAACGCCCCGAAUUCGAUCUCCUUCAAGUAAGCCUCGAGCUCCUUGAUCCUAUCAUAAUCAGGACGCGAGUACUCCUCUCCAUGAUGAUCUUCCUUGCCAUACAAGUAACACUCAAGCUCAUUCUUCAACCGAUCGACAGCAGCAUUCUUCUCUUCGAAAAGAUAC
rnacentral:lncRNA from 1 species